AAAGAAACAAUUAUAUUAAAGCUUCUAACUUUAAAAAGAGCACAAGUUCAUGUUUCUUAUCAA
rnacentral:tRNA from 1 species